GACGAACGCUGGCGGCGUGCUUAACACAUGCAAGUCGAACGGAAAGGCCCUGCUUUUGUGUGGUGCUCGAGUGGCGAACGGGUGAGUAACACGUGAGUAACCUGCCCUUGACUUUGGGAUAACUUCAGGAAACUGGGGCUAAUACCGGAUAGGAGCUCCUGCUGCAUGGUGGGGGUUGGAAAGUUUCGGCGGUUGGGGAUGGACUCGCGGCUUAUCAGCUUGUUGGUGGGGUAGUGGCUUACCAAGGCUUUGACGGGUAGCCGGCAUGAGAGGGUGACCGGCCACCUUGGGACUGAGAUACGGCCCAGACUCGUACGGGAGGCAGCAGUGGGGAAUAUUGUACAAUGGGCGGAAGCGUGAUGAAGAAACGCCGCGUGCGGGAUGACGGCCUUCGGGUUGUAAACCGCUUUAGCCUGUGACGAAGCGUGAGUGACGGUAAUGGGUAAAGAAGCACCGGCUAACUACGUG
rnacentral:rRNA from 1 species